ACUCGAGAAAGCAUCCAUAAGAAACUCAAAGUGAACAAAGGGUAUAAUUUCUUUUUUCUCUUCUGUAACCAAAAGAAUUCAUGGAGUUUGGGGCUCACUAACUGUCUGGUACUUGUCAAUUUAUGCCCAAAUCGUACCAAGGACGAUUACGAUAUGCCCACGAGGGGGUAACGUGCAAUAGGGGCAUCAUUCCCAAAAUUUCCAUUGUUGUUUCUUGUUGUAGGGCAUCCCCAUCG
rnacentral:lncRNA from 1 species